rnacentral:rRNA from 1 species
CAGUAGCCGCGGUAAUACGAAGGGGGCUAGCGUUGUUCGGAAUUACUGGGCGUAAAGCGCACGUAGGCGGCGAUCUAAGUCAGGGGUAAAAGCCCGGGGCUCAACCCCGGAAUAGCCUUUGAGACUGGAUUGCUAGAAUCUGGGAGAGGUGAGUGGAAUUCCGAGUGUAGAGGUGAAAUUCGUAGAUAUUCGGAAGAACACCAGUGGCGAAGGCGGCUCACUGGACCAGUAUUGACGCUGAGGUGCGAAAGCGUGGGGAGCAAACAGGAUUAGAUACCCGAGUAGUCCCUGUCUCUUAUAC